rnacentral:rRNA from 1 species
UACGUAGGGUGCGAGCGUUAAUCGGAAUUACUGGGCGUAAAGAGUGCGUAGGCGGUUCGUUAUGUCUGCUGUGAAAGCCCCGGGCUUAACCCGGGAAUGGCAGUGGAAACUGGCGGGCUUGAGUGUGGCAGAGGGGGGUGGAAUUCCGCGUGUAGCAGUGAAAUGCGUAGAGAUGCGGAGGAACACCGAUGGCGAAGGCAGGUCUCUGGGCCACUACUGACGCUGAGAAGCGAAAGCAUGGGGAGCGAACAGG